rnacentral:ncRNA from 16 species
UUUCAUAAGUGUUAAACAGGUGCAGUCCUUUAUUGGACGAGCUUAAAAGGGAAAACGGUUAGAUUCCGUUGCGGUCCCGCCACUGUAAUUGUGAGAAUCCUAUAGUUUCGCCACUGUGAAAACGGGAAGGCGUUAGGAGACGAUGAUCAAGAGCCAGGAGACCUGCCUGUUUGUUACAUGACAUG